ensembl:lncRNA
AAGGGAGCGUAUAAACAGGAGGGGGAGUGGCUGUUUGUGAGGGUGGACAGUGAUAGGACAAGGGGGAAUGGUUUUAAACUGAGACAGGGGAGGUUUAGGUUGGAUAUGAGGAGGAAGUUUUUCACCCAGAGGGUGGUGACGCACUGAACAGGUUGCCCAAGGAGGCUGUGGAUGCCCCAUCCCUGCAGGCAUUCAAGGCCAGGCUGGAUGUGGCUCUGGGCAGCCUGGGCUGCUGGUUGGGGACCCUGCACAUAGCAGGGGGUUGGAACUGGGUGAGCAUUGUGGGCCUUUUCAACCCAGGCCAUUCUGUG